CACUGAAGUUCCCCUUCUACGUUUUAAUUUAAGCAAGUGUGAAAGAGAAUGUGUGAGAUAGAGAGGGAGAGAGGACGUCUGAGUGCACUGCCAACCAGGACUGGAAGCACAGGAUUCCUCACACUCCAGGCCUACGGAGCAGAGAGGCCAGACCGUCUUCCCCUGGCAGACCAGACAAUCGUUGCAAGAUGCCCACCAAUCCAGUUGCCCGUACUCCGGCUAAUGAUCACAUGGCCAAAGAACCGCGCCUUCCCCUACGAUUGCUCACCCCUGACCUUUGGAACCUGAGGGCCUUGGAUAACUCGCAGAGGAAGGAGAGCAUACUGCGGGUGUCUUCUUCCAUCUUUUUUCCUCCAAGGAAGGAGAAAGCAAGGUGCAGAGAGAGAGAGAGAGAGAGAGA